CUGCCUGGGGGGGGUGUGUGUGUGUGUGUGUGUGUGUGUGUGUCUUUAAGCACAAGCCUCAGGCAACAGCCACACAAAGACACUC
rnacentral:miRNA from 1 species